rnacentral:lncRNA from 1 species
GAGAAUAUUGAUAUGAAUAUUAUUGUGGAAUUUCUAUCUUUUUGUGUCGAGAUUACUAUUCACGUAUACGGCACUAUUCACGUAUACAGUACUAUUCACAUAUACAACACUAUUCAUGUAUAUGACAUUAUUUACGUAUACGGUACUAUGUACGAAUACGGAGUACUAUUCAUGAGUUACUAUUCAUGAGUUACUAUUCACGAGUACUAUUCAUGACAAAAAUUGGUUUCUUU